rnacentral:rRNA from 1 species
GCGAAGGCAGCGUACCGGCGCCACACUGACGCUGAGGCACGAAAGCGUGGGGAUCGAACAGGAUUAGAUACCCUGGUAGUCCACGCAGUAAACGAUGAAUGCUGGUUGUCCGGGUCGAAUGAGACCUGGGCGGCGAAGCGAAAGCGAUAAGCAUUCCACCUGGGGAGUACGCCGGCAACGGUGAAACUCAAAGGAAUUGACGGGGGCCCGCACAAGCGGAGGAACAUGUGGUUUAAUUCGAUGAUACGCGAGGAACCUUACCCGGGCUCAAACGGGAGCGGAAUGGACCAGAGACGGUUCAGCCUACGGGUCGCUUCCGAGGUGCUGCAUGGUUGUCGUCAGCUCGUGCCGUGAGGUGUCGGCUUAAGUGCCAUAACGAGCGCAACCCCCGCCGGCAGUUGCUAACGGGCAAUGCCGAGGACUCUGCCGGGACUGCCGCCGCAAGGCGAGAGGAAGGCGGGGAUGACGUCAAAUCAGCACGGCCCUUACGUCCGGGGCGACACACGUGUUACAAUGGGCGGUACAGCGGGAAGCCAGGCGGCGACGCCGAGCGGAACCCGAAAGCCGUUCUCAGUUCGGAUCGGAGUCUGCAACCCGACUCCGUGAAGCUGGAUUCGCUAGUAAUCGCGCAUCAGCCAUGGCGCGGUGAAUACGUUCCCGGGCCUUGUACACACCGCCCGUCAAGCCAUGGGAGCCGGGGGUGCUUGAAGUGCGUCGCCGCGAGGCGCGCCCUAGAGCAAAACCGGUGACUGGGGCUAAGUCGUAACAAGGUAACCGUAA